rnacentral:rRNA from 1 species
GACGAACGCUGGCGGCGUGCUUAACACAUGCAAGUCGAACGGAAAGGCCCUGCUUUUGUGGGGUGCUCGAGUGGCGAACGGGUGAGUAACACGUGAGUAACCUGCCCUUGACUUUGGGAUAACUUCAGGAAACUGGGGCUAAUACCGGAUAGGAGCUCCUGCUGCAUGGUGGGGGUUGGAAAGUUUCGGCGGUUGGGGAUGGACUCGCGGCUUAUCAGCUUGUUGGUGGGGUAGUGGCUUACCAAGGCUUUGACGGGUAGCCGGCCUGAGAGGGUGACCGGCCACAUUGGGCCUGAGAUACGGCCCAGACUCCUACGGGAGGCAGCAGUGGGGAAUAUUGCACAAUGGGUGGAAGCCUGAUGCAGCAACGCCGCGUGCGGGAUGACGGCCUUCGGGUUGUAAACCGCUUUCGCCUGUGACGAAGCGUGAGUGACGGUAAUGGGUAAAGAAGCACCGGCUAACUACGUG